rnacentral:rRNA from 1 species
AUUGAACGCUGGCGGCAGGCCUAACACAUGCAAGUCGAGCGGACGAACGGAGCUUGCUCCUGGAUUAAGCGGCGGACGGGUGAGUAAUGCCUAGGAAUCUGACUGGUCUAUGGGGAUAACGUCAGGAAACGGGCGCUAAUAUCGCAUACGUCCUGAGGGAGAAAGUGGGGGAUCUUCGGACCUAACGCUAUCAGAUGAGCCUAGGUCGGAUUAGCUAGUUGGUUAGGUAAAGGCCUACCAAGGCGACGAUCCGUAACUGGUCUGAGAGGAUGAUCAGUCACACUGGAACUGAGACACGGUCCAGACUCCUACGGGAGGCAGCAGUGGGGAAUAUUCGACAAUGGGCGAAAGCCUGAUCCAGCCACGCCGCGUGUGUGAAGAAGGUCUUCGGAUUGUAAAGCACUUUUAGUUGGGAAGAAGGAAUGUGAGUGUAUACCUGGCUGUCUUGACGUUACCAACACAAUAAGCACCGGCUAACUUCGUG